AUUGAACGCUGGCGGCAGGCCUAACACAUGCAAGUCGAACGAGUGGCGUACGGGUUAGUAAUGUCUGGGAAACUGCCUGUUGGAGGGGGAUUACUACUGGUAACGGUAGCUAAUCCCGCAUACCAUCAGAUGUGCCCCGAUGGGAUUAGCUUGUUGGUGGUGUAACGGCUCACAAAGGCGACGAUCCCUAGCUGGUCUGAGAGGAUUACCAGCCACACUGGAACUGAGACACGGUCCAGACUCAUACGGGAGUCAGCAGUGGGGAAUAUUGGACAAUGGGCGCAAGCCUGAUGCAGCCAUGCCGCGUGUAUGAAGAAGGCCUUCGGGAUGUAAAGUACUUUCAGCAGGGAGGCGUUACAAGAAGAAGAAGCACCGGCUAACUCAGUGCCAGCAGCCGCGGUAAUAC
rnacentral:rRNA from 1 species